CUGGGUGUGGCGCAGUUGGUAGCGCGCGCGGUUCGGGACUGCGAGGUCGUCGGUUCAAAUCCGAUCACCCAGACCA
rnacentral:tRNA from 1 species